GACGAACGCUGGCGGCGUGCCUAAUACAUGCAAGUCGAACGCAGUGGGUACGGGUGAGUAACCCGUGGGUAACCUCCCAUCAGAGGGGUUAACACUUGGAAACAGGUGCUAAACCCUUACUGAUGGAUGGACCCCCGGUGCAUUAGCUAGUUGGUGAGGUAACGGCUCACCAGGGCCACGAUGCAGUGCCGACCGGAGAGGGUGAUCGCGCACAUGGUGACGGAGACACGGACCGGAGUCAUACGUGAGGCGGAGGUGGGGAAGCGUCGGAAAUGGACGAAAGUCGAACCGGGCAACGCGGCGUGAGUGAAGAAGGUUUUCGGAUCGUAAAACGCUGUUGUUAGAGAAGCGGUAUGUAAGGAGAAAGGAACGUCUAACUACGUGCCAGCAGCCGCGGUAAUUG
rnacentral:rRNA from 1 species